rfam:Saprolegnia parasitica CBS 223.65 mitochondrial scaffold supercont2.1443, whole genome shotgun sequence.
GGUCGAAUAGCUAAGUGGUUUAAGGCAGUGGUUUGCUAAACCAUCAGUUAUUAUUGAUAACUCGUGGGUUCGAAUCCCACUUCGACCU